AACCAGGUUUCUCCCCUGUAAUCCAGACUCCACUUCACAGAGCCAAGAGUUUGAUUACAAGUAAGUGAUGUUAUUUGUGACGUUUUUUGGUCUUGGAAACUAUUGCUUCUAUUUAAGAUUAGGAAUCCUUUUAUCCAUAAUCUGUUUUUCAUUAGGGCACUUGACUUUCUGGAUAAAAGGUAUCGAGGUGUGUUGUACAUAUCAUUAGCUUUGCACAGUUCAAUUAUUGUUUCAUUAGCUUUGCACAGUUCAAUUAUUGUUUCAUUACUGAAUAUGCAAUCUCUGCAGUGAAAUUAAAGCUGUUAUGUUUGUUCCCCCAGCUCGUCAUGUACUAAGCUUUACACCACCAGCAGCAAAUUUACCCUGGCAGCAUAUGGGUGAAAUGCUGGAGGUAUGUAAUAUGUUGUGCUAAACUAAGUUUUACAUUUAAGUCCAAUUCAUUAAAUGUAUGCAAUUACUUCAAACAUAUUUUUACGUCAAUGAUUAUCAAUAGGAGAAAGUAAUCGCUUUGUUAUUGGCCCUUGGACGCCCCUGGCAUCUCAUGUACAGCAUGACGUUUUCAGCUAUGAAGAUUUCCAGAGACUCCAGAAUGAACCAAGCUCUGAGGGAGGAGAACCAAGCCCUGAGGGAAUGCAUUGCACAAGCAGCUUCGGAUGACAGCGGCUCACUUCAAGAGCAGGUGAAGCAAGUAGGGACAAUGUUGAAGACGUUUG
rnacentral:lncRNA from 1 species